AUUGAACGCUGGCGGCAGGCCUAACACAUGCAAGUCGAGCGGAGCGGCGGACGGGAGAGUAAUGCCUAGGAAUCUGCUUGGUAGUGGGGGAUAACGUCCGGUAACGGGCCCAAAUACCCCAUCAUAUCAGAUGAGCCUAGUACGGAUUAGCUAGUUGUGGGGGUAAGGGCCUACCAAGGCGACGACCAGUAACUGGUCAGCGAGGAGGAUCAGUCAAACUGGAACUGGGACACGGUCCAGACUCCUACGGGAGGCAGCAGUGGGGAAUAUUGGACAAUGGGCGUAAGCCUGAUUCAGCCAUGCCGCGUGUGUGAAGAAGGUCUUCGGGUUGUAAAGCACUUUAAGUUGGGAGGCGUUACCAACAGAAUAAGCACCGGCUAACUUCGUGCCAGCAGCCGCGGUAAUAC
rnacentral:rRNA from 1 species